AUUGAACGCUGGCGGCAGGCCUAACACAUGCAAGUCGAACGAGUGGCGGACGGGUGAGUAAUGUCUGGGAAACUGCCUGAUGGAGGGGGAUAACUACUGGAAACGGUAGCUAAUACCGCAUACCAUCGGAUGUGCCCAGAUGGGAUUAGCUCGUAGGUGGGGUAACGGCUCACCAAGGCGACGAUCCCUAGCUGGUCUGAGAGGAUGACCAGCCGCACGGGAACGGAGACACGGUCCAGACGCCUACGGGAGGAAGGAGUGGGGAAUAUUGCACAAUGGGCGCAAGCCUGAUGGCGUCAUGCCGCGAGUAUGAGGAAGGCCUUCGGGUUGUAAGGUACUAUCAGCGGGUAGGCGUUACCCGCAGAAGAAGCACCGGCUAACUCCGUGCCAGCCGCCGCGGUAAUAC
rnacentral:rRNA from 1 species